GUGCCAGCAGCCGCGGUAAUACCAGCACCCCGAGUUGUCGGGACGAUUAUUGGGCCUAAAGCAUCCGUAGCCUGUUCUACAAGUCCUCCGUUAAAUCCACCUGCUCAACAGAUGGGCUGCGGGGGAUACUAUAGGGCUAGGAGGCGGGAGAGGCAAACGGUACUCAGUGGGUAGGGGUAAAAUCCAUUGAUCUACUGAAGACCACCAGUGGCGAAGGCGGUUUGCCAGAACGCGCUCGACGGUGAGGGAUGAAAGCUGGGGGAGCAAACCGGAUUAGAUACCCCCGUAGUCC
rnacentral:rRNA from 1 species